GGGGAGGUUUCAGUACAGUGGGGCUGGAGAGCGGAAGAGAAGGACUCCGUUUUGACCUGGGCCAGACCUGCGUGGGCCUGCUGCUGCUGCUGCUGGGGAUGAGGGUGAGGUUGCUGGGGGUGAGGUUGCUGGGGGAGAGGUUGAGGGAGGCGUGUCGGCCGACACAAGCCCAUGCGCAGGUAGGCCACGUCGGGCAGGUAAAGGUUCAUGUUGAGGGUGUAUGGAGCGAAGGCCUGGUCGUCGCUGAAGAACUGGUCCAUGUUGGACACACUGUCCCGCCGCGACUUCUGCUGCUGCUGCAGGCCGUCGGACAGGGGGGGCAGAGGCACCUGGGACAGAUACCUGUCCAGCUCACACUUGGUCUACGGAAACAAAAAGAACAUGGAUUAUCCCCGAUCCUAUUCGCUCAUCCAACAACAAUAAGCCUCGGUGAGUUUAAAGAUACAGGGUGCCUUUUUUUUUUGUGCAAAAAUACAAAUAAA